UACGGGGGGAGCAAGCGUUGUUCGGAUUUACUGGGCGUAAAGGGCGCGUAGGCGGCCACCGCAAGUCGAUUGUGAAAUCUCCGGGCUUAACCCGGAAAGGUCAACCGAUACUGCGGGGCUAGAGUGCAGAAGGGGCAACUGGAAUUCUCGGUGUAGCGGUGAAAUGCGUAGAUAUCGAGAGGAACACCUGCGGCGAAGGCGGGUUGCUGGGCUGAUACUGACGCUGAGGCGCGAAAGCCAGGGGAGCGAUCCGG
rnacentral:rRNA from 1 species